rnacentral:rRNA from 1 species
GACGAACGCUGGCGGCGUGCUUAACACAUGCAAGUCGAACGAUGAACUUGGAGCUUGCUCUGGGGGAUUAGUGGCGAACGGGUGAGUAACACGUGAGUAACCUGCCCUGGACUCUGGGAUAACUUCGAGAAAUCGGAGCUAAUACCGGAUAGGACCUUGCACCGCAUGGUGUGGCGUGGAAAGUUUUUCGGUUGGGGAUGGACUCGCGGCGUAUCAGCUUGUUGGUGAGGUAAUGGCUCACCAAGGCGUCGACGGGUAGCCGGCCUGAGAGGGUGACCGGCCACACUGGGACUGAGACACGGCCCAGACUCCUACGGGAGGCAGCAGUGGGGAAGAUUGCACAAUGGGCGCAAGCCUGAUGCAGCAACGCCGCGUGCGGGAUGACGGCCUUCGGGUUGUAAACCGCUUUUAGUAGGGAAGAAGCCUUCGGGUGACGGUACCUGCAGAAAAAGGACCGGCUAACUACGUGCCAGCAGCCGCCGUUAAUAC